rnacentral:rRNA from 1 species
UGGGGGAAUAUUGGACAAUGGGGGGCAACCCUGAUCCAGCAAUGCCGCGUGUGUGAAGAAGGUCUUCGGAUUGUAAAGCACUUUCGACGGGGACGAUGAUGACGGUACCCGUAGAAGAAGCCCCGGCUAACUUCGUGCCAGCAGCCGCGGUAAUACGAAGGGGGCUAGCGUUGCUCGGAAUGACUGGGCGUAAAGGGCGUGUAGGCGGUUUACACAGUCAGAUGUGAAAUCCCCGGGCUUAACCUGGGAGCUGCAUUUGAUACGUGUAGACUAGAGUGUGAGAGAGGGUUGUGGAAUUCCCAGUGUAGAGGUGAAAUUCGUAG